rnacentral:misc_RNA from 1 species
UUUUUUUGCUUUUCUGGUUUUGACUUUCCAGAGGGCUGGGUUUGGUGAUACAGCUGUACGCGGGAGAAAUUUGGCACUCACGUUGAGGCAUAAGAGUCCGUGGUUUUGUGUUGCUGACCCGUCCAUUAAGUGCUAAAAGAACCAGCCACUGUCACUUCUAAGAAUGUCAUCAACAGAAGAAGUCCAUGAACAAGUCCAUGAACAAGAACAUCACGAUGAAGUAGCAAGUAACUAUGUUCCUCCACCACCAAAAUCAAUUGGAGAGCUGGUGGCAGCAGAUCAAGAAGAUGAAAGCUUACGCAAAUACAAAGAAACAUUGCUUGGAAAUGCAAUCGCUGAAAACAUUGUUAUAGAACCUGGUAAUCCCAAGAAAGUCUUGGUUAAAAAGUUAGUUCUGGUGUCAGAAGGCCAGACUGAAAAAACUUUGGAUCUUUCUGGUGAUCUUUCUAAGCUGAAACAAACUGUGUUCACUAUUAAAGAAGGUGUUCAAUACCGCAUUCGUAUCGAGUUUUUCGUCCAACACGAAAUUGUUACUGGACUGAAAUAUAUCCAAAAGACUUAUAGAAAAGGAAUCCAAGUGGACAAAAUGACCCAUAUGGUUGGAAGUUAUGCCCCCAAGAAGGAUUUACAGUCCUAUACGACGCCACUGGAAGAUGCGCCGUCCGGUCUACUAUACCGUGGUCAUUACACUGUUUCCUCUUUAUUCACCGACGACGACCAAAACGAACACCUCAAGUGGGAAUGGUCAUUUGAAAUUAAAAAAGAUUGGAAUUAAGAUGAUUACAGAGGAAACAUGAUUAAUAUGCCUUAUUGUAUCCUGGAGGACUCAAAACUUUCUUUUUCAUCGUCUAUCACGCGUUUUCCAGGAUUCAAUUUGAAUGCUUCUUUCUUUCAGUAUCUUCUUCCCCAUUCACUCUCUGUCGAGCCUCAACCAUUCUUACAGUUUUUUUUUUGAGGGCCUAAGAAUGCCGUUUUCAAUAAAUAAGGAUUGUUUCAAUCA